rnacentral:rRNA from 1 species
AAUGCAGUCGAGCGGACAGAUGGGAGCUUGCUCCCUGAUGUUAGCGGCGGACGGGUGAGUAACACGUGGGUAACCUGCCUGUAAGACUGGGAUAACUCCGGGAAACCGGGGCUAAUACCGGAUGGUUGUUUGAACCGCAUGGUUCAAACAUAAAAGGUGGCUUCGGCUACCACUUACAGAUGGACCCGCGGCGCAUUAGCUAGUUGGUGAGGUAACGGCUCACCAAGGCAACGAUGCGUAGCCGACCUGAGAGGGUGAUCGGCCACACUGGGACUGAGACACGGCCCAGACUCCUACGGGAGGCAGCAGUAGGGAAUCUUCCGCAAUGGACGAAAGUCUGACGGAGCAACGCCGCGUGAGUGAUGAAGGUUUUCGGAUCGUAAAGCUCUGUUGUUAGGGAAGAACAAGUACCGUUCGAAUAGGGCGGUACCUUGACGGUACCUAACCAGAAAGCCACGGCUAACUACGUGCCAGCAGCCGCGGUAAUACGUAGGUGGCAAGCGUUGUCCGGAAUUAUUGGGCGUAAAGGGCUCGCAGGCGGUUUCUUAAGUCUGAUGUGAAAGCCCCCGGCUCAACCGGGGAGGGUCAUUGGAAACUGGGGAACUUGAGUGCAGAAGAGGAGAGUGGAAUUCCACGUGUAGCGGUGAAAUGCGUAGAGAUGUGGAGGAACACCAGUGGCGAAGGCGACUCUCUGGUCUGUAACUGACGCUGAGGAGCGAAAGCGUGGGAGCGAACAGGAUUAGAUACCCUGGUAGUCCACGCCGUAAACGAUGAGUGCUAAGUGUUAGGGGGUUUCCGCCCCUUAGUGCUGCAGCUAACGCAUUAAGCACUCCGCCUGGGGAGUACGGUCGCAAGACUGAAACUCAAAGGAAUUGACGGGGGCCCGCACAAGCGGUGGAGCAUGU